UACGAAGGGGGCUAGCGUUGCUCGGAAUCACUGGGCGUAAAGGGUGCGUAGGCGGCGCGGUAAGUCGGGUGUGAAAUCUCGGGGCUUAACUCCGAGACUGCAUUCGAUACUGCCGUGCUUGAGGACUGGAGAGGAGACUGGAAUUUACGGUGUAGCGGUGAAAUGCGUAGAUAUCGUAAGGAAGACCAGUGGCGAAGGCGGGUCUCUGGACAGUUCCUGACGCUGAGGCACGAAGGUCAGGGGAGCAAACGGG
rnacentral:rRNA from 1 species